CUGGGUAGUACGAGCGCAAGCUUAAAACUCAAAGGAAUAGACGGGGGCUCGCACAAGCGGUGGAUCAUGAGGCUUAAUUCGUCGAUAAGCGAAAAACCUUACCGAGGCUAGAAACUAUACUGCACGCUACCAGAAACGGUAGAAUCCUUCGAGGGUGUAUAGCAGGUGAUGCAUGGCCGUCGUCAGUUCGUGGCUUGAGCUGUUCCCUUAAGUGGGGAAACGAACGCAACCCUCGUUGCCUGUUACAAGUGUCAGGCGAGACUGCUCCCUCACGGGAGAGGAAGGUGAGGAUGACGCCAGGUCAGCAUGUCCCUUGAUGCCUCGGGCUGCACUCGUGAUACAAUGGGACGUACAAAGGGACGCAAUACCGUAAGGUGGAGCAAAUCCUGAUAAAACGUUCCUCAGUUCGGAUUGUGGGCUGCAACUCGCCCACAUGAAGCCGGAAUCGCUAGUAAUCGUGAAUCAGCACGUCACGGUGAAUACGUUCCCGAGCCUUGUACUCACCGCCCGUCAAGUCAGGGGAGUCGGGAGUGCCCGAAGUGCCAGUUUAUCUGGUCCUACGGUAAACUCGAUAACAAGGACUAAGUCGUAACAAGGUAACC
rnacentral:rRNA from 1 species